UACAGCCAGAAACACGAGCAAAAGAUACGUUACUGCUGAGACGAUAUCGUGAAGAAAUCGAAACGGUGGUUUCCUUAGUAAUUUUUCGGUUUUACAUCGUCUGCCAUUGUUAAUCACAAAUAAAACAUACCACUGGUUACACUGUCUUUCUCACAACCUUGCUGAACUUUGUAUGCAUCAAAUGGUUACUUGGCAACCAAUGUAUGACCAACAUGAUAGACUGGAUCUAUUUGACAGAGUGGAAUUUUACGAAUAGUUUUUUUUUUUUAUCAAUAUGCGUAUUAUCGUUCUUCUUAUCUUUUUAUCGGUUGUUUCAUGGACAUACAUACAUAAAAAAUAGAUCAUUGUGUAGAAAUGUAGAAAAAUUUGUAUUUCAGGUAAGAAUAAGGAAAUGGAAAGGAUAAGAAGGGACUGCAAAUGCUAUAACUAAAUAAUAAAUAUCAGUAUAAAUACAACUACUCGGAUCAAAAACGAUCAUUUAGAGAAUUAAUCUUAUACCAUUGAACGAAUCAAUCUAUUCUUCGCCUCUAAAAUGCCGUAAGUUUAACAAUUUAAAUAGCCCGAAAGAAACUAAAAUAUUCAAUCUACCUCUAAUUAAAUUAUUUUAAUCCGGUCGUAUAAUCUUGUAAAAAUUUGAGUCUAAAAAGCUUACAUCCAGCGAAUAAUAAUUAAAAAGCCUUACUUUUAGGUUCGCAUCUCCUCAACUUCCUGUUAUCAUUCAGGCUAAUAACUGGAUGACGACGAGUGAACGGAGGAGCAGAGGAGCGGGCUACGAAACCCGGAGACCGGUGUACAAUCGUAUAGUGGAAAGGGAGGCGGAUAAAUCAGCGGACGUCGAGGCGUUAGCGUUUUAUAGUGCAUUAAUUAGUCCGUGAUGAGGAGGCGGAUAAAAAGUUUUUACAACGUUAUAAAUGCAAAAGGUGGAUAGGAUCGUUCGUAGGACUCGUGGAACGCGAUCCGCCAUUUAAUUUCACCUUCUUUUUACGGUGACCAUCGUUCAUGUCGUAUUUUACAAGAUCGGUCUCGAGAAAAAGCGAACUGGAACGUUGGCGAAACGUGGAAACGAAACGACAGGUACCGACGUUAAAAACACGAUGGAAACCCGAAGAGCCGCAAAUAUGUCAUCCAAUCAUCGUGAAAGUUAGAAAUCUAUUUCCCUUGUUACGUCUUCCGUUGCAGGUUAUCCAGCCGUGGAAAAGGUUCGAUUUGAGAACCGCAGGCGGUAAAUCGCCGGUUACCCCGCUUUAAGUGGUACGUGGAGAAGGCUUGCCCCGACACAGCCAACGUUACACCGCGUUCAGGGUGGGAGGAGGGUGACGGGGGACGGGGGUGGACCGCCGUAUCUCCGAUAUGCCACCAGCCAUAAAAAUCUGAAUAUAUUAGGCCUACAUGCACACGACAUCUCGCUCGGAUCGUGAACACGUUACCCACGAUAAUCUAUGCUCGUUUCUAGCACACUUUAACACGUUUCUGCGUACCCAUUGGCCGUGGCUACCGUGGCCGCUCUACCUGCUCUAGCUUCUUCCUUUGGCCACCUUUUUCCGACUAUCCUUCUUUCCCAUCCUCUCUAUUUGCGUUGCGGUUCCGUGUAAAAAACUUGUGUCGCGACUUCCUUUCGAGGAUGGAUGGUCUGGUUUCGAUGCAAAAUUCGAAAGCUUUAAUUCGCUUCCUAACGAAAGCGAGAAAUUCGAAAAAACGGGCGUGACGUUCGUUCCUACGAUUUAACGAUUUAGAUCUCGUCGUUAGAUCAUCCGCAAGAUGCUUGAAUUUAAUAGAUCUUAAAAUUAGCACCGUAAUCUGCAUCGUAGGUAUCACGCGACAAAAGUACCGUCAAUCGCAUCUGUCGUGCGAAAUACGAAGUACAAGUUGAAGUUAAGUGCCAUGCGGUUAAAUAACUUGGCUCGUGUCUGACCCAAGGUUCCGCGGUUUUUUAUAACCGAACGAUACAAAUCGGGGCUGAAUUAUUCGCAUAUUCCGAUAGUUGGAGAGGCCGAAUUCGAACGCUCGCUAACUCUCUGUACCGUUCAAUCAUGAAAGAACGCACGAACUUUGGUAUUCUACUUAAAAAUGUCAGCGAUAUAUCAUACGCGCAAACUGUAAAAAUCCCUAUCAAUUUGCGACAAAUUGGUUGUUGGAUAAAAAUCGCCUUUUUACGUAAUUGACCGGCAUUAUCCUUUAAAUUUGCUAUUUAUAAAGGUAUUUGUACGAUGUACAACGAUGUUUGGCAUGCCACAAAAUUGCAUCGAAUAUUAAACGCAAAAAGAAUAUCUUCGGGGCCACGUCGCUCAAGGUUAGCUGGAAAACCGACAUAAAAUUGUCGCUUAUCGUUGAGCACAAGCACGAAUUUAGCGGAAUCUCGAUUUUUUUUUUUUUUUUCUCUCCCUCGAAAUAUAUCGAAGGCGAGCACCAAGAAGCCUGGUGAGCUUUCGAGAGCGCGGCGAAGCAACGAGCAAAAAGGGCGGACAGGGGACUGGAGGGAGGUAAUUAGAAUAAUUCGGGCCGCUGUGGUUCACGCCACACGGACGAAUUUGCAUUUUAAAUGAAGCAAUGGCGUGUCAGAGGCCCCCGGUUGCGCCGGCCAAGCAGAGCGGCAGAACUUUGUGUUUUAUAAGGAACUUUAAUAUUUAUCGCGUAUAUCCAAACCGAAUAAAUCUCUAUACGUAUAUGUAUACACGUAGGACCGGGUACACGUAUACAAGGACCCGCGUAUACACCGCUGUCUAUAAAUAUACAUAACGUUACAGCAUUUACGUCAGACUGAUUGGAAAAGUUUGACAAAUUCCGCUUUGUCUGGUAUGUUACGUUAUCGGAAUACUAUCGUUAAUUCGUAAUUAGCGUCAUAAAUAUCAACGAUUAUAUCCUUUCGUUCCAUAUAUGUAGUCUCGUGCGGAAUUUCAAAUUGAUUUUUGCAAAAUUCUCGCGUUGCAUGGAACGUGUAGCGAUUUUAAACUCUCGUCCGAUAGCGUAAGAGUGGCAAACUUUUAUCGAAAUAAUGGAUUUAUAAUGGAAAAUAAAAUUGCGUAUAAAACGAAAAUGCUGGAAAAUAUUCGAUCUGCGUUAACUACGCUGUACGACGCGUAUAAUAUGUCCGUAAAAAAUAUCUACGAGUAUUUGAAUACUUUUGCGAGCUACGGUACAUCUAGUCUUUAUCUCGCGUAUAAACUUAUGUAUAUAUAUAUAUAUAUAUAUAUAUAUAUAUAUAUAUAUA